rnacentral:rRNA from 1 species
GACGGAGGGUGCUAGCGUUGUUCGGAAUGACUGGGCGUAAAGGGCGCGUAGGCGGCCGCUUGCGUCGGAUGUGAAAGCCCGGGGCUCAACCCCGGAACGGCAUCCGAUACGGGGCGGCUCGAGACUGAGAGAGGUGAGUGGAAUACCCAGUGUAGAGGUGAAAUUCGUAGAUAUUGGGUGGAACACCGGUGGCGAAAGCGGCUCACUGGCUCGGUUCUGACGCUGAGGCGCGAAAGCGUGGGGAGCAAACAGG